rnacentral:lncRNA from 1 species
GAGAUGAGCGCUAGCCAGAACGAAAUGGACAUAUGAGCGAUCGAUUACGAGAGCUCGACCGAUCAGACCGGGAAGAAGAGAAAGAAAGGUCAAUCUCCGAAAGGCCUUCGCAGAGCUGAGCUUUAGGGGGGAAUACUUUUUGUGGUCUUGCACAUGGAAAAGUCAAGUAUUCUACGCAGGCUUGAUUUACCGGAAUUUUUGCUUCAAAGAAUGCUUUCAAGCUAGGAAUUAAAGCACGGAUAGCUUUAUUUGACAAUUAGCUGGAAGUCGGGUAUGCCUAUUCAACAUAAACUAAGGCGCUGGGUAGAUCGUAGAUUGCCGGGUAUGAAUUCGAUUCUAAGUCGGAGAAUGCCCAUGAAUAGGGUCUUAUUACAGAAUCCGCAGUUUUGAAAGUAGCCCUAGACAGAUCAUUGCUAAGAGGAGAGCAGGGAAUUUCUUGCUAAUC